CAAGCAUAUUUGUACAUGUCUUGGUCUGUUUCCUGUUGCUACAGCAAAAACCUGAGUCUGGGUACACUAUAAAGAAAUGUUGAUUCAGCUCAAGGAUUUGGAAGCUGAAAGUCCAAGACAGGGUGGCUCCACCGACUCAGUCUCUGAUGAGGGCCUCCCGGGAGCGUCACAAUAUGGUGGGCGGGAUCAGGACGUGGGGCACGAGCCCAGAGCGAGAAAGGAAUCUGCAAAGUGGAGCAGAGGCAGCCUGCUCUUCUGUGACAGCGCGUUCUCACCAGGACGAGCUCACUUUCAGAUCAGCAUUGCCUGCUUCUGAGGGCAGCUCCCCAAACGACCGAAUUAUGGUGCACCUUCCUCAGAGCCUCCUUUGCUAAGAGUUCCUCCAUCUCUCAAAGCCUCCACACUGGGCACCCAACUUUCCACACGCACACCCUUGGGGAACCAACUACAUCCAAACUGUCGCAAUAUGUGUGUUCUUGUACACUACGGUUUUCGUUUCCGAAGCGGAAGAUUCUCAAAGAUUGCGUCGGUGGUGAAGGAGGCGUGGGCAUUCUGAGUGUUAACCCGAAAGGACAGAUGCUGUGUGACACCACCUGGGGACACUCACUCGCUCUGCACACCUCGACGGCCUGGAAGUCCAUUCAUCCCAUCCAAAAGAGGACCCAAAGUCUUUGAAUAUGGAUUUAAGAAGCGGAACACAGCUCUGCUUCACACCAUCCGAACAGCCAUCUGCUCUUCAGAAGGGCAGUGUUUCCCGCUCUGACUCUGGAAUCGAAAUUGAAACAGUUUUCUGAAAGAAUGUCGAAAG
rnacentral:lncRNA from 1 species